CCUACGGGAGGCAGCAGUAGGGAAUCUUCCGCAAUGGACGAAAGUCUGACGGAGCAACGCCGCGUGAACGAUGAAGGCCUUCGGGUCGUAAAGUUCUGUUGUUAGGGAAGAACAAGUGUUAGUUGAAUAAGCUGGCACCUUGACGGUACCUAACCAGAAAGCCACGGCUAACUACGUGCCAGCAGCCGCGGUAAUACGUAGGUGGCAAGCGUUGUCCGGAAUUAUUGGGCGUAAAGCGCGCGCAGGCGGUUUCUUAAGUCUGAUGUGAAAGCCCCCGGCUCAACCGGGGAGGGUCAUUGGAAACUGGGAAACUUGAGUGCAGAAGAGGAAAGUGGAAUUCCAAGUGUAGCGGUGAAAUGCGUAGAGAUUUGGAGGAACACCAGUGGCGAAGGCGACUUUCUGGUCUGUAACUGACGCUGAGGCGCGAAAGCGUGGGGAGCAAACAGGAUUAGAUACCCUGGUAGUCCACGCUGUAAACGAUGAGUGCUAAGUGUUAGAGGGUUUCCGCCCUUUAGUGCUGAAGUUAACGCAUUAAGCACUCCGCCUGGGGAGUCGGUCGCAAGCUGAAACUCAAAGGAAUUGACGGNUUGAGAGNGCGAGCGACGACGAGGAGAGG
rnacentral:rRNA from 1 species